rnacentral:lncRNA from 1 species
UUUUCUCCCAACAACACCAUUCUGUUGAGGGGUGAGAGGAGAGGAGGUUUGAUGUAUGAUCCCCUGGCUGCUAAAGAAAGAAAUACCCUCAUUGCUAGACCCCAACAGGAGGUUUGAUGUAUGAUCCCCUGGCUGCUAAAGAAAGAAAUACCCUCAUGCUAGACCCCAAUUCCAAAGCAUUGUCACUUCUAAUAGUCUGAACCACAACAUUAAAUUGGGUUCUGACCAGAGAAAGAAAUGACUUAAGCAUAGUAAAAGCAUUGCUUUUGGAUCCCAAUAGGUGUGUCCAAGUUGCCCUUGAAAAAUCAUCAACAAUUGUAAGAAAAUAUUUACAACCAGAGGAGGUUGAGUAUGAUAAGGUCCCCAGGU